GGUUAAGCGACUAAGCGUACACGGUGGAUGCCCUGGCAGUCAGAGGCGAUGAAGGACGUGCUAAUCUGCGAUAAGCGUCGGUAAGGUGAUAUGAACCGUUAUAACCGGCGAUUUCCGAAUGGGGAAACCCAGUGUGAUUCGACACACUAUCAUUAACUGAAUCCAUAGGUUAAUGAGGCGAACCGGGGGAACUGAAACAUCUAAGUACCCCGAGGAAAAGAAAUCAACCGAGAUUCCCCCAGUAGCGGCGAGCGAACGGGGAGCAGCCCAG
rnacentral:rRNA from 1 species